GAUGAACGCUAGCGGCAGGCUUAAUACAUGCAAGUCGUGGGGCAGCAUGAGUGUAGCAAUACAUUUGAUGGCGACCGGCAAACGGGUGCGGAACACGUACACAACCUUCCUAUAAGUGGGGAAUAGCCCAGAGAAAUUUGGAUUAAUACCCCGUAACAUAACGAUGUGGCAUCACAUUGUUAUUAUAGCUUCGGCGCUUAUUGAUGGGUGUGCGGCUGAUUAGAUAGUUGGCGGGGUAACGGCCCACCAAGUCUACGAUCAGUAGCUGAUGUGAGAGCAUGAUCAGCCACACGGGCACUGAGACACGGGCCCGACUCCUACGGGAGGCAGCAGUAAGGAAUAUUGGUCAAUGGACGCAAGUCUGAACCAGCCAUGCCGCGUGAAGGAUUAAGGUCCUCUGGAUUGUAAACUUCUUUUAUCUGGGACGAAAAAAGGCUUUUCUAAGUCACUUGACGGUACCAGAUGAAUAAGCACCGGCUAACUCCGUGCCAGCAGCCGCAGUAAUAC
rnacentral:rRNA from 1 species